GUGGUCUAUGUGUGUGCAUAUUUUAUUUAUGUGUGUAUGUAUACACACACACACACACACACACACACACACACACACACACACACACGUAU
rnacentral:miRNA from 1 species